rnacentral:rRNA from 1 species
UACGAAGGGGGCUAGCGUUGCUCGGAAUUACUGGGCGUAAAGGGCGCGUAGGCGGAUAUUUAAGUUGGGGGUGAAAUCCCGGGGCUCAACCUCGGAAUUGCCUUCAAAACUGGAUAUCUUGAGUUCGGGAGAGGUGAGCGGAACUCCGAGUGUAGAGGUGAAAUUCGUAGAUAUUCGGAAGAACACCAGUGGCGAAGGCGACUCACUGGCCCGAUACUGACGCUGAGGCGCGAAAGCGUGGGGAGCAAACAGG